GAUGAACGCUGGCGGCGUGCCUAAUACAUGCAAGUCGAGCGAACAGAUCAGGAGCUUGCUCCUUUGACGUUAUCGGCGGACGGGUGAGUAACACGUGGUUAACCUACCUCUCAGACUGGGAUACCUUCGGGAAACCGUAGCUAAUACCGGAUAAUAUUUCGCACCUCAUUGUUCGAUAGUUAAAGUUGGUUUUUCUUUCACUUAUAGAUUGACCCGCGCCGUAUUAGCUAGUUGGUAAGGUAACGGCUUACCAAGGCGACGAUACGUAGACGACCUGAGCGGGUGAACGGACACACUGGAACUGAGACACGUCACAGACUCCGACGGGAGGAAGCAGUAGGGAAUCUUACGCAAAGGGCGAAAGCCUGACGGAGCAAAGCCGCGUGAGUGAUGAAGGACUUCGGAUCGUAAAACGCUGUUAGUAGGGAAGAACAAACGUGUAAGUACCUGUGAACGUAUUGACGGUACCUAAUCAGAAAGCCACGGCUAACUACGUG
rnacentral:rRNA from 1 species